GGGUUGUGAGGUUAAGCGACUAAGCGUACACGGUGGAUGCCCUGGCAGUCAGAGGCGAUGAAGGACGUGCUAAUCUGCGAUAAGCGUCGGUAAGGUGAUAUGAACCGUUAUAACCGGCGAUUUCCGAAUGGGGAAACCCAGUGUGUUUCGACACACUAUCAUUAACUGAAUCCAUAGGUUAAUGAGGCGAACCGGGGGAACUGAAACAUCUAAGUACCCCGAGGAAAAGAAAUCAACCGAGAUUCCCCCAGUAGCGGCGAGCGAACGGGGAGCAGCCCAGAGCCUGAAUCAGUGUGUGUGUUAGUGGAAGCGUCUGGAAAGGCGCGCGAUACAGGGUGACAGCCCCGUACACAAAAAUGCACAUGCUGUGAGCUCGAUGAGUAGGGCGGGACACGUGGUAUCCUGUCUGAAUAUGGGGGGACCAUCCUCCAAGGCUAAAUACUCCUGACUGACCGAUAGUGAACCAGUACCGUGAGGGAAAGGCGAAAAGAACCCCGGCGAGGGGAGUGAAAAAGAACCUGAAACCGUGUACGUACAAGCAGUGGGAGCACGCUUAGGCGUGUGACUGCGUACCUUUUGUAUAAUGGGUCAGCGACUUAUAUUCUGUAGCAAGGUUAACCGAAUAGGGGAGCCGAAGGGAAACCGAGUCUUAACUGGGCGUUAAGUUGCAGGGUAUAGACCCGAAACCCGGUGAUCUAGCCAUGGGCAGGUUGAAGGUUGGGUAACACUAACUGGAGGACCGAACCGACUAAUGUUGAAAAAUUAGCGGAUGACUUGUGGCUGGGGGUGAAAGGCCAAUCAAACCGGGAGAUAGCUGGUUCUCCCCGAAAGCUAUUUAGGUAGCGCCUCGUGAAUUCAUCUCCGGGGGUAGAGCACUGUUUCGGCAAGGGGGUCAUCCCGACUUACCAACCCGAUGCAAACUGCGAAUACCGGAGAAUGUUAUCACGGGAGACACACGGCGGGUGCUAACGUCCGUCGUGAAGAGGGAAACAACCCAGACCGCCAGCUAAGGUCCCAAAGUCAUGGUUAAGUGGGAAACGAUGUGGGAAGGCCCAGACAGCCAGGAUGUUGGCUUAGAAGCAGCCAUCAUUUAAAGAAAGCGUAAUAGCUCACUGGUCGAGUCGGCCUGCGCGGAAGAUGUAACGGGGCUAAACCAUGCACCGAAGCUGCGGCAGCGACACUAUGUGUUGUUGGGUAGGGGAGCGUUCUGUAAGCCUGUGAAGGUGUGCUGUGAGGCAUGCUGGAGGUAUCAGAAGUGCGAAUGCUGACAUAAGUAACGAUAAAGCGGGUGAAAAGCCCGCUCGCCGGAAGACCAAGGGUUCCUGUCCAACGUUAAUCGGGGCAGGGUGAGUCGACCCCUAAGGCGAGGCCGAAAGGCGUAGUCGAUGGGAAACAGGUUAAUAUUCCUGUACUUGGUGUUACUGCGAAGGGGGGACGGAGAAGGCUAUGUUGGCCGGGCGACGGUUGUCCCGGUUUAAGCGUGUAGGCUGGUUUUCCAGGCAAAUCCGGAAAAUCAAGGCUGAGGCGUGAUGACGAGGCACUACGGUGCUGAAGCAACAAAUGCCCUGCUUCCAGGAAAAGCCUCUAAGCAUCAGGUAACAUCAAAUCGUACCCCAAACCGACACAGGUGGUCAGGUAGAGAAUACCAAGGCGCUUGAGAGAACUCGGGUGAAGGAACUAGGCAAAAUGGUGCCGUAACUUCGGGAGAAGGCACGCUGAUAUGUAGGUGAAGCGACUUGCUCGUGGAGCUGAAAUCAGUCGAAGAUACCAGCUGGCUGCAACUGUUUAUUAAAAACACAGCACUGUGCAAACACGAAAGUGGACGUAUACGGUGUGACGCCUGCCCGGUGCCGGAAGGUUAAUUGAUGGGGUUAGCGCAAGCGAAGCUCUUGAUCGAAGCCCCGGUAAACGGCGGCCGUAACUAUAACGGUCCUAAGGUAGCGAAAUUCCUUGUCGGGUAAGUUCCGACCUGCACGAAUGGCGUAAUGAUGGCCAGGCUGUCUCCACCCGAGACUCAGUGAAAUUGAACUCGCUGUGAAGAUGCAGUGUACCCGCGGCAAGACGGAAAGACCCCGUGAACCUUUACUAUAGCUUGACACUGAACAUUGAGCCUUGAUGUGUAGGAUAGGUGGGAGGCUUAGAAGUGUGGACGCCAGUCUGCAUGGAGCCGACCUUGAAAUACCACCCUUUAAUGUUUGAUGUUCUAACGUUGACCCGUAAUCCGGGUUGCGGACAGUGUCUGGUGGGUAGUUUGACUGGGGCGGUCUCCUCCUAAAGAGUAACGGAGGAGCACGAAGGUUGGCUAAUCCUGGUCGGACAUCAGGAGGUUAGUGCAAUGGCAUAAGCCAGCUUGACUGCGAGCGUGACGGCGCGAGCAGGUGCGAAAGCAGGUCAUAGUGAUCCGGUGGUUCUGAAUGGAAGGGCCAUCGCUCAACGGAUAAAAGGUACUCCGGGGAUAACAGGCUGAUACCGCCCAAGAGUUCAUAUCGACGGCGGUGUUUGGCACCUCGAUGUCGGCUCAUCACAUCCUGGGGCUGAAGUAGGUCCCAAGGGUAUGGCUGUUCGCCAUUUAAAGUGGUACGCGAGCUGGGUUUAGAACGUCGUGAGACAGUUCGGUCCCUAUCUGCCGUGGGCGCUGGAGAACUGAGGGGGGCUGCUCCUAGUACGAGAGGACCGGAGUGGACGCAUCACUGGUGUUCGGGUUGUCAUGCCAAUGGCACUGCCCGGUAGCUAAAUGCGGAAGAGAUAAGUGCUGAAAGCAUCUAAGCACGAAACUUGCCCCGAGAUGAGUUCUCCCUGACCCUUUAAGGGUCCUGAAGGAACGUUGAAGACGACGACGUUGAUAGGCCGGGUGUGUAAGCGCAGCGAUGCGUUGAGCUAACCGGUACUAAUGAACCGUGAGGCUUAACCUUACAACGCCGAAGCUGUU
rnacentral:rRNA from 1 species